rnacentral:lncRNA from 1 species
GCAAAUUCAGUCAAAAGUUAAUGCAUAUGUUACAUAUUAAAAUUUCAGUAAUGAUAAUCAUUAACAACCGGCAUUGAAUAAAUUAAUGCUAAUAAAUGACCACUUCAUCAACUGUGUCCCCCAUCAUAGAACAGCCGUGAACGUUAUUGAUGUCGCGUUUAGGACAUGUAUUAGCGCUAAAAGACGCGAGACAUUCUGGCGUUUAAAAGUGGACACGUUUGAGCGAAUAACAAUAGUAUUGGGCACGUUUGGAGGUUCUGAAAUCAGACAAGUUUGGGGAAUAUUGAAUAUUAUGGACACGUUUGGGGAGAAUAGAC